GUUGAAAUUUACGUGCGGCUGGUUUGACCACGGAGAUCGGACUCACGGCUGCAUUGAGCGCAGUAACGUAAACAUGUGACUGAAGCUGUUAUGAUGUAUACAUGUGUGAAAGACCACAUCCUGACCAAAAUGCAGUCAGCGUAACUUGUGACACCUGCACAUCGUACUGGACAGUGACUUCUCACUACAUGGACAACGAGUGGUGCCUCGUGUCUCAUGUGCUACAGACCACGAGGUUCUCACGAGCAGGUCUAAAAUCCCCCCCCACUUCUCGCCCUCUGAUAUGAUGUGCAUCAGGACACAUUGUGUGCAGCAUCAGCGCUGGAUCCUCGCUGUAAGGCCCUACCAUCCCUGUCUGCUAAAGAGCGAGGUGACACCUUCUCCAGACUGCAGACCGACGCUGCCACUGCUGCACCAAAAUACUGAUGGUAAUGAUGCUGAUGAAGGAGCUGAGGAGAUGGGGGGGAAGCAACUUCACCCAAGAAGCCCAAGAAAUCCAGCACCUUGUCUCUCCUUGGGGCAGUUUACUCACCAACAGUAAAGGAACAUGGACCGAAAACUCCAGCAAUGAGGGCUGAAGAUGAAAUCAGAAGACACAGGGUGGAAAAUCCUGCUGGGCUGAAUGAAAGUCCUCUGAGCUGGUGGAGGUCAAAUGAAAGGGAGCAUCCACUGUUGGCUCGCCCUGCGAAGAUAUACCUUUGUGUCCCAGGGACCAGUGUUGCGUCAGAGCGGGUGUUUUCAACUGCGGGUGAUACUGUCACUGCAAAAAGGAGCUGCCUAACCCCAAAUCAUAUCAAUGAGUGAGAACAAAGUCACAACAACAGGACUUCAGACAGUUUAUGUUUACUUUUAGUUUCGUUACCAUUAUUAUUAUUGUUGCACUUUAAUAAACAAUGCCUUAAUGCAGUUUGCAGUGAUGAAAUGUUGUAGUUCAAGUCCACUUUCACACUUGAGCUGCAAUGGGCUGAGCAAUGUCUGGUGUG